GACCACGGGCAGACGGGGGUGGCUGCCAGCAGUUGAAAGGAGUGCGUUGCUGACAGCAGCAAGGCUGCCGGGACCCAAGCUGUACAUCCACAAGAACUGAAUCCAGUAAACAGCCUGUGAAGGUCAGAAACAGGUUCUUCCUCAGCUUCCAGAUAGGAACGAAGUCUGGCUGACACCUUCAUUUCCACUCUACAACCCUGAGCCCUGCAUCCAUGCCAUGCCUAGACCUCUGACCCACAGGACUGUAAGGAAUGAGACAGUCCUUAAAGAACAAGGAUUUUCCUAUGAAGACGUUGCAGAGAGGCCUACCUCUUCAAUGGAAGUCAGUCCCUGGUCCCGUGAUGAAUGUGACAUGGGCAGAUGUUCUAUACAUGGAGAAGAAGGCUGAGAAAAUCUGGGGCUGCCCCUGACACUCCUCUAGCAACUACUCAUAGAUCAGAGGUGUCACCUGGGAGAAAAAUAGGCUGCCAUUCUCACCCCUUACUCUAAUGUAAUGGCAUCUCAACUCUCCAUAGAAAAUGGGUAGAAUGGCCAGAUGUUUAACAGAACCAGAGAAAGAGUCAACCAAGAAGAACCCUUCUGAGAUCACAUUCAACAUGAAGUUCAAAAAAACCUGUGUAUGUGUGUUUAUUAGUGUGGACCCACAAGAGCAGCAGAGUGACAUACAGUGGACUUGAAAAUAUUCCCCAAUGCCAUCUAAAGACCUAUCAGCUCAUGGAACAAGUUCCACUUGUGGAAAACUUUGAAAUGUACCUCUGACCAAACAUGGACUAAAAAAUAAGUUAUUCCAACAUGGGAGAAACACAAAG